rnacentral:ncRNA from 1 species
GUCAUAUAGAGAAGCAAUGAAAAGCCAUUUAUAUCUGGGCACUUGAAUGGCUUGGAGCGACUAGUGCAACCGACUCUUUUUUAA